rnacentral:rRNA from 1 species
ACGGCCGUACCAUGCUGAAUAUACCGGUUCUCGUUAGAUCACCGAAGUUAAGCAUCAUUGGGCGCGGUCAGUACUUGGGUGGGUGACCACCUAGGAACACCGCGUGCCGUU